CUCCACCAGAGGUUUAACACACAUCAAUGGCACGAGUAUUGAGCGCAUUGUAAGCGCCAUACCUGCCACAACUACCACUGCAACAGGAGAGUAUCACUUGGCCUGUUUUAAGAGAUUCUUUGUUGACCUUAAGAGGGUGAAAAGACCUGGUAUGUGCCAGCUGUCUGGUGCCUGGGAAAGGUCAGGACGUGGAUAUAAUCGUUGCACACACAGAUGGUGACAUGGAUCGAAAGGUGAAGAGAGAGAGAGAGACAGCAAUUAGUUAAAAAUCGUCCGGACUUCCCUAUGAAAUAUUACGAGGAGCAGAAAAGGAGAUAUGAAUGCAGCCGCCGCAGAGGAAGAAGGAGCACAUGAAGGCGGCAUUACUUUGCUCGUUUGAAGAAUCAGGAACAUCAAAUAAGACAAAGAACAGAAAGUUACACAAGUGAAAGUAGGAUAUAAACCGGCCCAAACAAGACACCGUUCCCAGUCAAACUGAUUUAACGUGGACUGCAUUUCUGAGCUGCUUAAUUUCUAGAGUCAGAAGGAAGACGACUGGAAAUAACACCGCAAGCCCCAGAAUUGUUUCUUACACUUGUGACUUAAAAAAAA